rnacentral:sRNA from 1 species
AAUAUUAAUUUUAUUAAUGAUAUGACUCUGAAUUAUAUUCUAAAUAUUUUAGCUAAUAACAUAGGAGUGCACCAUAUUUAUUUAAUAGGGGAAUGUACCAUAUGAUCCGAAUACACUUUUAUCCAAAUCCACCAAAAAAGUCUUGCAAAAAUAUUAUAGAGAUAAGAAACGAUAGUCGGUUUUGAUACGUAUAAGAUUAGCAAAUAUAUUAGUUAGCUUAAAUUAGUUAAAAAAUACAAAUUGAAAAGGUAUAUUACAUUAUUCGAAUAUAGUAUCAAAACUUAUAUAACAGAGAGAUUUGAUAAUUUUUUAAUUGUUGAAUACUUUUUUUGUGCCAAUUUUUAUGUGAUUAAGAUUUACUUGAUUUCGUAUAUAAAAUAUUAAAUUGACUUAUUUGUUUAUAAUUUGGUAACAUAUAGAUAUUUGAAUAUUCAGUAUAUUUUGCUUCAGUUUAGGAAAUCUUUGAUGACCCGUCUUUAAAUCCAAUAAGCCCUAUAAUCUAGAUAUUAACCUGCAGUAUACCGCAGGUACGCUUAUAUUUUAGUUAAAAU